CCAGCUUCAGUUCCUCUCCUCACAGCCUAGCUUGUUCUCUACCCUGGCUGCCAUCUAGGAUGAGUGGCUGGCUCAGACCCUAGUGUCAGCGCCCUAAUCCCCACCGGGCCAGGCACCGGUGCUGUGUUGUGCGGGCACGCUCUCUGGAAGUUUCUACAUCCAGAAACUUCCACCAUCGAAACAGUCUGGGACAAAAUACGAAUAUAUUUGGGUCGUGACAGAAAAAGUCUUAGCUUGCACCGAUGCCAUGGAUUCCUUUCAAAGUCUGUGCUGCUGGAGGCUGACCCCACCACAGACGGCAAGUGCAUCAGUCACCAGAAGAUGAAUCUCCCAAAAAGGCUGCCUGGAUCUGAUGGAAGAAGAGCCCAGGAGUAAUGACAUCAGCAGUCUGAGGGGCUCUAGUGGCAGUGGUCGUCUUCAGCACAGCCCAUUGGCCGGUGUUCCCGGGGCUGGUGACACUGGCAUCCUUAGGGUUCUCAAAGGCAGCAAUGACUGAAGCUGCC
rnacentral:lncRNA from 1 species